GAGGGUAUAGCUCAAGUGGCAGAGCGUGUGCUUAGCAUGCACAAGGUCCUGGGUUCAAUCCCUGGCACCUCCA
rnacentral:tRNA from 1 species